AGUGAGAUGGGUACAGGAACAGCGGGGGAGACAGGUACAGGAACAGCAGGGAGACAGGUACAGGAACAGCAGGGAGACAGGUACAGGAACAGCAGGGGAGACAGGUACAGGAACAGCAGGGGAGACAGGUACAGGAACAGCAGGGGAGACAGGUACAGGAACAGCAGGGAGACAGGUACA